ensembl:lncRNA
AUUUCAAGAACUGAAUAUGUGUCUUUCAGAACUGUCAAAAACAGCCUAAACAUAACACAGACCUGCAUCUUGAUAAAAAGAAAAAAAAUAUUGUGCAGUUCUUUUACAAAAUAAUGAAAGUUAUUAAAUUAUAUGUAUUUAAAAGCUUUAAUGCACUUGUCAAAAUAACAAAAAUAUAAUAAUACGAUACAGUUUUAGGCAAAGUAACAGGUGCCACGUUUACUUUAAAUGGUACAGAAGAGUUGCGAAAAGAGGCAGUACUGAACGAAGAGGUAAUCGUCCAAACUGAGUCAUGAUAAAUUAAAUAUCUCUCUUGGAUGUGCUAUUCGCAGCUUAUGAAGAAGUUUUGUAUAUUUAAAUACCAGCUAUGAUUUCUCAACAGUCUCUGAUGUUGCCUGUUGAAGUUCAAAUGGAUUGCUUUCCAAAACAAGAGCCCAAUUAUUCCUUUGCACAAAUGCAAGAUUUUCUAAAUGUCACCUGUGAACCAACAGAAGAACAUUUCCCUUUAAAAGAUAUUUUCUAAGAAGAUAAAACUUGACCUAUACAUAGCAAAAUAUACACAUUGUCUCAAUGUCAGUGCAUUAGAUAGCAACAUAUCAAAGCAAAGGUGUUUAUUUUUAAGAAGGAAGCACAAGAACACUGUCCAAGUAAAUCAUUUGACAAAAAUAAAUUUGUUUUGGUUUUAAAUGAUAAAACAAUUGAUGCACUGUUCAAACUGUCAAUAAAUUCCAAUAAAUAGCUCAAAAGUGCAAAUACCAAUUGCUUUUCAAUUUUAUUUAAUGCAGUUACAAGCAGAAAGUGUGACUGUAUUGUGCCAUUAUAUUGCAUAUAAAAGUCAAUAAUAAUUAUAUUUCAUUUAUAGUCACCUCUGCUGAUAAACACAUGGCUGAGUUGGAGGUCCUGCAAAUGCCGGAAAGCAGCUUUGCUUACAUCACCUUCAAGGAGCCAAAAUCUCCAGGUAUGGGAAAUUGCUGUUCAUAUUUAAUCACAAUCAAAGAGUGGUUCCUGCUGCAGAUUGCUCUUCUAAUCUCCAGUGACUUCAAAACCUUUCAUUCCAGCUCGAGGUCUUAUGCUGAGAUGGAAUUAAACCUGCCUCUUUCACCACAUAAUCAUAAACUGUGUUUACCAGACCAGCUUAUGUCCAACAGACAGCUGCCAGCUGAGAUAAUGCCACCAGUUUAUAAGCAAACCACAGGUAGCUAAGCCAUUGGUCCACGUUCAGUCACUCCCAGAGCUUCCCACACUGCUAAAGGUGGAGAUGGAACAGGUUGCAGAACCAAAAGACAAUAUGGGCCAGUUUCACUUCACCAACAGUACAGUGAUGAUUCCUGAAAAAAUCUUCAGUAAUCUCUCCAUCUUGAGGAGAAAAUGUCCACAGUAAGAGAGGUGUGAGAGAGCCACACAUGGAUGAAAUGUUCUCACCACUGUUUANUGCAAUAUUACUCUUUUUUAUAUUUUAUUAAUGAUUUCAAGAUUGUGAGUUAAUGUUAUUACAGAGUUGCUGAGGAAGUGUGCUUCAAAUGCAGGUGAGCUUUUUAAGUGUCUCUAAUCAUUUCAGAUAUAACCUAAAUAUAUAUUUUCCAUUAUAAAAUGCUCACUGUUACAAUAGUAUAGCAACAAGAUGAUAUAUUGAUGUAUUAUUAUUUUGAGAAGUACUUUCUACCCUACCUUUGAUUUAUUA